rnacentral:tRNA from 1 species
GGGGCUGUAGCUCAGAUUGGCUAGAGCAUCUGAUUUGCACUCAGAAGGUCGAGGGUUCGAGUCCCUUCAGCUCCA